rnacentral:snRNA from 1 species
GAAUGUGAGGGGAAUCUGGCUGCAACCUUUCCCAUUCCCUGCCAGGGUUGAUUCAGCUGACCUGCCUGGCUCGGCAUGCGUCUCCUUCCUUCCCCAGCACUCUANGUGCAUCCCUUCUAAUGCGGUGUGCUCACUAGAAGAGGAGAACCAUUCCCCAGGACCAGACACAGUGUAAAUUGGCAUAGCUUGGUGUAGCGCACUGUUAAGCUGAUGCUUAACGAG